rfam:Hordeum vulgare subsp. vulgare, WGS project CAJW01000000 data, contig: morex_contig_167365
UUACUACUGCCUCCGUCCGGAAUUACUUGUCGCACAAAUGUAUAAAAAUAGAUGUAUCUAGAACUAAAAUAUAUCUAGAUACAUCCAGUCCUAUGACAAGUAUUUCUAGACAGAGGGAGUACAAA